rnacentral:rRNA from 1 species
CAGUCGCCGCGGGAAUACGAAGGGUGCAAGCGUUAAUCGGAAUUACUGGGCGUAAAGCGUGCGUAGGCGGUUUGUUAAGUCUGCUGUGAAAUCCCCGGGCUCAACCUGGGAAUGGCAGUGGAUACUGGCAAGCUAGAGUGUGUCAGAGGAUGGUGGAAUUCCCGGUGUAGCGGUGAAAUGCGUAGAGAUCGGGAGGAACAUCAGUGGCGAAGGCGGCCAUCUGGGACAACACUGACGCUGAGGCACGAAAGCGUGGGGAGCAAACAGGAUUAGAUACCCCCGUAGUCCCUGUCUCUUAUAC